GGGGAGUGUUGAGUUCAGUGGUAAAUUUGUAUUUGGUAUGAUGUACUAAUGUGUAAAUUAUAAAUGUCAGGAAGACAAGAGUGUAAAGAAGGAAGAUAGAGAUAAGGAAAGGAAUGGACGGCAGCUCAUGACGUUGCUCCAGUUCUCUGUAUUGUGAACUCCUCUCUCAAAUCCCCUCUCAAAUCCCUAGUUGAUUCACACCAAAAUUCGUUUCUUUUUGAGGGAUUCAACACUAACAGAUCCAUCAAUCAAUUAUGCACUUCUUACAUCUAUCAUGGGCAAUCUCGGAGUUUUGGGUAGACUUCGCAAACUGACAAUUAUGCAGGAUUGUACUUUAACCUGGACACAUAGGGCGAAGACAUCAGCAAAUCGACCAAUCAAAACUUAGAAGCAACCAUGCCAAAUUAUGGUUCCACCCUACAAGCUGCAACCCAAUAGAAUGACCUGAAAAGCAUAAGAGUACAGAUGCAAAGCUAAGCAAACUACGUCCAUACUACUUCCUGAAAAGUGGGAACAACGGAAGGGAUAAGGCCCAAUAGAGAAAACAUCAUAUUUCAGGAGACACCUAUCUUGCCUGUUCGAUUCAAGGGUAGGGGAAAGAUGAAGGGGAUGGCGCCGAGUGAAUCGCAAAAAACCACCACAUUGACGCAUAGGUUUGCAGAAAACACCGUUCUACAAAUUUGUGCCAGAAACCACUAAUUUUUGGUCUAAUCUUUUGCAAAAAACACUGACCCGUCGCUUUGAGCAUUUUAACCUCAAUUAUGGCAUGUGGGUCCAGAUUUUUAUGACGUGUCGUAACGGAUGAGAACUGACGACGUUUGACAGUGGGCAUCUCUAGUGGCUGGUGGUACGGUGGGCAUGGACUCGACGGCGCACUUGGAGGUAGGCAGCUUGUUGCAGGGGCGGACGGUGCCGAACCGCCGGCCUCGAUCUGGGCGAGCUCUCCGGCAGCGAUCUAAGUCCGGAUCCGGAGCUCGAAUCUACUUGUCGCGCCCGGGGCCUCAUCGUCGGGAGGGGCACCCGAGCGGUCCCCCGAUGCGCCUCGCCUCCCGUGGUGGGGCCGGAUCUUGGCCGACCCCCGGAGCGCCUCCGCGCUCGCCGGCGGAGGAAGGUGGAGGGCGCGGCGGCCCUGCGCGGCGGCGCGUCCAUCAGAUCAAGGAACAGGGAGUGGGAAGGGCAGUGCGGGAUGGGGGCGGCAAGCCCGAGCAGUAGGCGCCUCCUGCGGCGGGGCCGGACCUCAGCCGACCCUGGAGCGUCUCGCGCCGCGCCGACGAAGGAAGGCCGACGGCCCUGUGCAGCGGCGGCGCGUCCAUCUGCUCCAGGACCGGGAGGAGGAAGGGCGGUGCCUACUGCGGCGGGGCCGGACCUCGGCUGACCCUGGAGCGCCUUCGGGCUUCGCCGGCGGAGGAAGGCGGAGGGCGCAUCCACUUGCUCCAGGACCGAGGGAAGGACGGGCGGCGCGAGAUUGACGGCUAGAGUCACCCUUAACGUCGUCAGUUCGCACCCGUUACGCCAUGUCAUCAAAAUCGGGACCCACAUGUCAUAAUCAAAAUUAAAAUGCUCAAAGCGAUGGGUUAGUGUUUUCUGCAAAAGAUUAGGUCGAGAAUUAGUGGUUUCUGGCAUAAAUUCGUAGAACGAUGUUUUUUGCAAAUCUAUGCGUCAAUGUGGUGGUUUCUGCAAUUCACUCGAUGGCGCCCGACAGAAGCGGCGGACGGGAUGUUGGCGGUCUGGCCGAGCUGUCUUCCUACCUGAUCCCUGCCUCCUACCCCUGUAGACGACCUUCUCCGCUCCUCUUUUGUUUUCUUUUCGAGAAAGAUAAAAAUUGUUGAAAAACCCCUCCUGACGAAAUUUAAACAUCACGCCCAACCGAAUAAAACAGAGUCUAACCUAAUAUGCGGAAAGUUUGAGGAAGAUAUAUCACCUCAUCCUCCUGGACGGACACACGAGAACAAGAAUCGGAGGUGGUGGUUGUCGUUGCGGCAGUGGCGGCUUCCAUCUUGACCCCGUUUGCCACGGCGAACGCCAUAUUGAUUGGUCUCGACGACGAUGGGCGGCGAAGCCGGCGAUGGUCGAGGAAGAUGAGACGACGGGAGCAGGGGCAAGAGCGCCUGCCUGCGGUGGUGGGGUGGGAAGAGCAGCGCAGAAUGGGUGUGAUCCCGUCCUCCGCGGGCUUGCGCGACCACCAUCGCCUGCCGGCUCUCCAGAUCGCGCCCGGCCGUCCCGCCGCCAGAUCGGCACGUCAGAGGAGUGGGCACGGCGGCCAUCACAGGCAGAGCAGAGCGGAGACCGCGGGCGAAGCAGGGCGAUCUGAGUUGCUGGCGGCGGUGGCGUUUUGGGGGAGAGGAGAGGACAACGGAGGCCGGCUAGGUUCAGUCACCACAGCCAAAACCGAAUGGCGUGCUAUCCGGCGAGGGGCCCGACCUGUCGCGCGGCAUCGCCUCCUCCACAUCCUCCUGCGAAUCGAGCUCUACAACCUCCAUCCCAAACUCCCUACCUGCCUUUCCCUCCCGGUUCCCCUCCCAAUGCUCGGUCCCCGCUCCUUGCCUCCCAAGCAUGGCGAUCCUCCCUCUCCGAGGUCCUAGCUGCCGGCCUCCUAGCACGGUGCACCUCCCUCGUCUUCGUUCUCUGAUUUGGCGGCUCCUCCGGCACUCCGGUUUUCUGCAGCAGCUGGCGGUCGGGUUAGUUCACUGCUCAUCUCGUCCAUCUCCCAAGCCUCCAAUAUGGUAAGUCCUCAAUUCCUCUUCCUCAGUUUCUCACGUUGUCAAUCUAUCGUGGUUUGAUUAAGUUUCAAAAAGGAAAAGUCUUGUUUUGAUUGAGGUUCAAAAUGAAGUAGAAAAAGCUUGGUUCAAUUUUGGUUGUCAUGGUUCCUUACCUGUAUUCAUGGGCGGAUCUAACUUAAAUGCAUGUUUCUUUUUUUAGAGUAGCAGGCUAGCAAGAUAUCUUUAUCAGGAUCAGUGCUUAUGGAGUAUGCACUAUGGAGUAUGCACUGAAGUCUGAACUGUUGUUCUUAUGUGUUUUGGGUAAUUUGGGUGACGAAUUUGAUGCUUAUGUUGAAUGUUUGUGGGUUUUCCGGGGGAAGAAAAUACUGGUAGUUACUUUAUUGGCAUCGGUCCGCAGUUAGCACUGCUGGUUUAGGAUCUGCAUUGUUAAGGUCUUUAGCUAAUUGCUCUGCUAUUUGCAAUCUUCAAAAGCAAAAAAAAAAAAAAAUGAAGCCUGGAGCAUAACAGAGUAAACUAGAUAAAAAAAACAGUAUCGCAGGAGCAAAACGGUGCAGCGGAUGAUGCCAACGUGAAUGACGAUUAACUUCUCCGACCUUGUGGUAGUCCGAAUCUGAAUCACAUGAAUGGGUGACCUUUCUCGUAAUCCUUUUUCUGAAACCGUUGGCUUAGACUGACAUUUUGGUAGUUGUGUAAGCUGAAGCAUGAUACUAAGCUGAACAAUUUACUGUUCUUUUUUCGCAUGAGAUCACAUUUUGGUAGUCUCUAAGGAAGUUGUAAGAUGAUGUACUCAAGCUAAGUUUCUUCUGUUUCAAUAAAACACAGGUUGGUAGUUGCAUAACUUGAACCAUGAUGCUUUCUUGCUGCUGCUGUAGUAGUCUCUAAUGGAAUUGCGAGAUAAUUUAGUUAAGCUAAUCUCAUUGGUCUGCACUCUCAAAAAAUCACAAGAGCCAUUUAGAAGAAGGUAGGGUACUAUUAUACAUUGGUCAUGUAAUGUACAGAUUAAGACAACAGAUUAAAAAUUUAAUUGUGAUACUUCAGAUUUGCAGAGUUUUACUAUUUCUCUGUUUCUUUCCUAAUAGUGGAACAAAAUUACCGUUUCUUGCGCGUCAUCUCACAAGGAGGAUGUCGGGCUGCCCAUUUUAGUGCACCAUGCCACAAGUUCCAGAAAAUUAUUUUGUCUCCUGAUUAAUGAUUUUGCGACUACUUUCAUUUAACAAGGCUUAUGUGUGCAUAAGUUUGUUACUGCAUCUGGGAGAUGUAGCUAAGUAUAUAAAAAAGUGUGCUUCUUUGCAUUAGGCAGAUGGAACUAUUCAGUUUAUACUUGUUGUUAAUCUUCUGUGUAUUGUGUAUGGUGCAUUCCUUAUUUGGUUUACACACCACAGUGGUAACUUGCAUUUUGUCAAGGAGGUUUGGUUCUAUUUUUUUUCUGUAAAAAAAUUAGUUCUCGACUUCAAUGCCAUCUUUCGUUGUUAUAGGUAUGAAGCCUUGUUUUACUAUCCUCAGGAUAAACAUGUUUCAGAUACUCAACAAUGGAACAUCCAUGCCCUUUUGUGAUGUUAACCAUGUUAACCAUCUUACGCCAGGGUUGACGAGGAAGAGGACCGGCGGAGUGGGGUUCGACAAGGUGGCGGUGGUUACUUUGUAUCUCCCGUUGGUUUGUGGUUACGUAAUUCCUAUAGCUGUAACUUUUGCACAAUCAUAAGGCCUUUAUAGAAUGCUAAAAGCUUCAGACCUUUGCAUCGGUUCUGUAGAAUACAUCAACCAAAGCUUACUCUUAGAUAUUUAGUUUAAGUUAAAUUUACUCCGAGUAAUUAAGGAUAUUGGGCCUCUACAAGAAAAGUAAGAAUCUGAAUCCGUAAGUAAUUAUAACCACUCAAGUGUGAUCUUCUUGUGUUGCUUAAAUUUCUAGCUAAGAUAUCUUUUUGAUACAGAUUGUCAGGUUAUGUUCUAACAUAAAACGCCCAGUUUUGCUAGAAGCUCUGCUUACUUUGAUGUACAUCUCUUUGUCUGAAAAAUUCACUAACAGUUUGUUUUGCUGAACAUCUUAGGUCAACUGGAUUCCAUCUCAAUUUAUGUAAAUCUCUUUCCUAAAAAGGUCGAUGAUAAGGUGGUGUGAAGUGAGGAGACGUAGAGAUGGAUGAGGACGAUGGCAGGAAGUAGUACCAACUCGCCCUCUCCUAGGUCUUCACCUCUGCCCUUAGGCCUUGUACAAUGGGAGGUGCUUAGGGGAGAUGCUUAGAGAAAUAAACCAGGCUUUUCUUAAGCACCGGUGCUUAUUUGUAUAGGAUAGACGCUUAGGCCUUGUACAAUGGGAAAUGCUUAAAGGGGUGCUUAGAAAAAUAAACCGAGAUUUUCUGAAGCACCGGUGCCUAUUUCUACAGGAGAGACGCUUAGUUAAGCGUCUACCCUGUAUAAAUAAGCAUCAGUGUUUAAGGAAAGCCUAGUUUAUUUCUCUAAGCACCUCCCCUAAACACCUCCCAUUGUAUAAGGCCUUAGUCUACCUAUACUUAGCUUCUUUGCUCCCACUCCUGUUCCUCCCUCUUUCUUAUAUAGGUUUCCAUCUAAUGGCAGCUCUCUCUCCCUUUUCCAUCUCUGUUUUGUAGAUAGCAGAGCAACCUAUCAUAUGUACACUGAAAUUGAUUUUGUUGUAAGCUUAUUCAGAUUUUAUUUAUUUCUUAUUGAUUCAUCAAGGAAUGGUUGUAAAUAUUUCAUAUGACUACAUCAAAGAGAGCAAGAAAUCCUGAUGUUAUAGCAUACGCUCA